rnacentral:rRNA from 1 species
GAUGAACGCUAGCGGCAGGCUUAAUACAUGCAAGUCGUGGGGCAGCAGGGGUAGCAAUACCCGCUGGCGACCGGCAAACGGGUGCGCAAUACGUACGCAACCUUCCUUUAAGCGGGGAAUAGCCCAGGGAAACUUGGAUUAAUACCCCAUAGUAUGAUGAAGAGGCAUCUCUUUAUUAUUAAAGCUCCGGCACUUAAAGA